GUGGAUGAGUAGAUGGACAUUUUUCAAGUAAGACAUGCAAGCUGCCAACAACUACAUGAAAAAAUACUCAACUGAGGUGAUUGAUCAGUUGAGUAUGAGGUGAUUUCUCAGUUGAGUAUGAGGUGAUUUUUCAGUUGAGUAUGAGGUGAUUUCUGGUUGAGAAUGAGGUGAUCUCUCAGUUGAGUAUGAGGUGAUCUCUCAGUUGAGAAUGAGGUGAUCGUGAUUUCUCAGUUGAGUAUGAGGUGAUUUCUCAGUUGAGUAUGAGGUGAUUUCUCAGUUGAGUAUGAGGUGAUUUCUCAGUUGAGUAUGAGAUGAUUUCUCAGUUGAGUAUAGGUGAUUUCUCAGUUGAGGUGAUUUCUGAAGUGAUUUCUCAUGUUGAAUUGCAAAUUCAAAGGAGCAGCUUCAAUCAAAAGGCGGGGCUUCUCCCGCCUUUCUCCCCGCAUCAGUGGGAGAAGUAGAUUGAAGCCAGUUGAUUAGGAUGUUUAGCUGUUAACUAAAUUUUCAUGGAUUUGAAUUCCACCAAUC
rnacentral:lncRNA from 10 species